rnacentral:lncRNA from 1 species
CAAUGUAUGGGUAGCUCGCAAGAGCAUGAGCUAACUUCUUACACGAACGCUUCACGGAAGAAAACAGGCAACUAUGAAAAGAACGCACAAGAUCUAAUAUCUUCCACGUAGGAUCAAAACCAGGAGAGAAGAUGAUCCUUCUUUUGGAUUGCAGGAAUAACUUGGAGCGAAUCUCCUUCGACAAUAAUGAAUGACCAUCCUUUCGCCGAGGCUUUGAGAAUUACUUUAAGAACUGCGUGUGCUUCGCCGUCCACCGGCCUAACUUUUAUGUGAAUUGCUUCCUCGCUCCACCAGAGAAUGGAGUCCGUGCACAAUGCCGUUUGGGGGAGGGGUCAAGACCACCGGAUA